GGUUAUAAUCAGUGUUACUGUGUCUGUAGCUGUGCUCCUGCUGUUUCUGAUAGCACUGAUCCUCAUCUACAAACGAAAUGGUGCAGCAGGACGUCAUGUCAAAGAGGACUGUAUCUGUGAGGAGAGACAGGAGAACCUCCAGAACCCAGAAAAUGCAGUGAACUCGAUUUCCAUCAGUGCCAAUAAUCCCAUAAACCACACUGCCUCACCACAUUACGCUGCCAUCAACUUUCAAGUGAGGUCUGAAAAAGCUGGCAGUGUGAUACUCCAACCCAGCUCCUCUGCCUGUGAGUAUUCUGCUGUGAAGUUCAGCAAGUGUCCAGACGACCUGACUGUGACCGAACCACACAGACUGGUGAAGUAGAUCCUCCACUUAUCAGGCAAAAUGAAAAUGAAAAAAAGAUCAGCUCUGUGAGGAACAUGUUUGUUGUAAAAUUGUUAAAAAUUAGCAAGGAAUCAUGUGAUUACUUUUGGGUUUCGGGAUUUAAACCAAGCUAUUUAGAUGAAAGUCUCACAUUUUUUGUGACAGUAUUCGUCUGUUCGGAGGUCUUCGACUUCGACAGAUUAUCUACCAGUUCACAUCAGCAGUGAAAUGCAUUGUGUCUCAGUGGACCUGAGAUAAUGUGUUAUACCAUGCUGUAGCAUGAUGCACAGAGUUGAACACAGUUCAUUCAGCCCAAUGCAGAGUUUGAAGGCUCUGCACUUGGACAUGAGGCUGAGCAGAGGAAAAAACGAACGGCACAGGUGUCUGAAAAUUAUUCAGUUGUUACUGCUGAUGUAGUGAUAGACACUGAUUUAAACCAGUUCAGAGCACAGUUAGUGAAGGUGAAUUUAAGCUGAUACUAAAAUGGAAAUGAGGCACACGGGGAAAUUUCUUCAAAUUAAAGUCUGCUCUUCAAUCACAUCUUAAUUGUUGUCAUAUUUACAGUUGAAUGUGAUGGUUUACAGAGACAAAAGUACAAAAAACGUGAUGCACAAAUACUUAUGAAGCUAACUGUGUCACCACAUGGACAGGUCGAUCCACCGUUCUCUACCAGUCAGAAUAGUGGGCGGUUUCUCAGGGAGUGAACUGGUCAGCAGUCCCACAUAACAUGAAAACAAUCAAAAGUGAUGUUGUGAGUUUGACACACAAACCAGCUUUCCAGGAUUGAGAUCAUCAGCAGUUGCACCAGUUUGUUUUUACAGUGCUGUUAAUGAUGUAAAGUUGGGAAAUAAAUACAGA